GGUGGCCCAGUGGUAGGGUGCUUGCCUUGCAUGCAUGAAGCCCUGGGUUCGAUUCCUCAGCACCA
rnacentral:tRNA from 1 species